GACUGUCAGCCAGGUGCAUCAAGCCCCUUUUAUCUUAUUCUUCUUUCUCUCCAUUUUCCCACAUGUCCAUGUUCCUCUAUAAAUCACUGUGAUACACCUCUCACUCUGCUUCCCAUAAAUAAUGUUUUACAAAGACCCACAGGCCUCUUAUGAUAUGCUAAAAUGUUUCACACCAUCCCUCAAACCCCCUCCAGAUAUUCCACAAUGCUCCUGAUAACCAUGUUCCUAUCCCUUAUCAGUUUGCAAGGCUCUGCCUAUUUCCUUUAGUGGCCCGUAAUUUCACAGCCAAAUAGUUGUGGUCUUCAUUAUUGUCUCCAUUAUAACCUACUCCUCAAUGUUUGUGCAUCUGUGCUUGUUAUUAGCUGUUUCUUUUAUUCUCAACAAAAUUAUGUAGUAAACCAUAUUCUCUUUCUUUCCACACACCCUUAGAGUUUCACGCUAAGAAAUUACUCAAAAUACCUUGUCAUCCAAGCCUGUUUACUACUGUUACUUACAGACUUGACCUGCAAUGUGCUGGGUGUGAGGAGAAAGACAAGAAUUCCUGCUGGCACUCCAAGCUGUCUUCCAACUCCACCACCACACAAGUAACAUGGAUAGAUAUCCUGUGAAGCAAAUCCCUCACAUCUUGAACUAUGUUUCUUAAAGGAUUCACAGGUUCUCAGCAUUCUUCUGUUGCAUUUCCACUGUGGAAGUAAGAUUUAGAAACAAUACACCUACAUUUGAGUCUUGAUAUAUCUACUCCAUAUGUUAUGAAAUAUCCAUUUGGCCAGUUUGAGUCAGCUGUCCUGGUUCUGUCACCUCCCAGCUUCUUGUGCACCACCCGCCUCCUUGCUGACAGGACAUCAGGAGAAGUCAAAAAGUUCCUGACUUAGUUUUAAUCUCAUGAUCAGCAAGAAAAUUCAAGGUACAAGAAACAGGCCUGAGGAAAAACACAGCACAGCAGCCUUUGCCAUUGUUUUCAAUAUCAAAUGAGUAUUACUUCUGUCUUCUGAUGAGGGAAGCAUCAAUGGUCCCAAUUUUAUGAAGCACAACUGUGUUAUUGUGGAGGAGCAAUGAAGGCUUACAUUACUUUAUCUCAUGAUUGACAACCACUGUACAGAAGAGAUCAUCAGGCUCAGGCUGUAAUCUUGAAAAAAUCAUUUGGGCCCACGUAAGUCAGUAGAAAAGUAAGCAUUAUUUUCAGUAUUUUAGUUUAAAAAAAUAAUUA